rnacentral:tRNA from 1 species
GCCAACUUAGCUCAGUCGGUAGAGCACUUCCUUGGUAAGGAAGAGGUCGUCAGUUCGAUUCUGAUAGUUGGCUCCA